GCCUCGGCGCUACCCAGCCUUCCGACACCCGCUUGCCAUUUGCCAUCUCCGAGGAGGUGGGAGGGUCACCCGGCUGGGUGCGGGGGUCGGAGAAGGGGCCGGCUCCGCGGAGGCCGGCGGCGGUGUGAGGACUGCCUGAACCGGAGGGUGACCUGGAGCCCCGAGAGGAAAUCGCAAAAGACGCGGAGGCCGGACGGAGCCGGGGCAGUGGGGCUUCUCACUGCUUGGUCACCCACCACAGCCAGCCCUCCUGGACUUGGCGUGGAAGGCCGCGGGGCCCAAGGGUCCCACACGCUCCAUCAGGGGAGCUUGGUGCACACAGCAGUAAAUCCAGGGCCCACCCCGUGGUGGCGUGGGGUCUUGGUACCACGAUGUUCAGUUUCAGAAGCUUCAGCAACUGCGCCUUACACAGUAUCAUGGAGGAUCCUUACCAAAUGUGAGCCAGCUGCGGAGCAGUGCCUCAGAGUUUCAGGUGAUAUCAUUCUGUCUAUAUAUGCCUUUUUUUAUGGUCCUGGGGAUUGAACGUAGGGACUGGAGCUUGCUAGGUAAGCACUUUAGCACUGUAUUACACUUCCAGCCCUCACUCUCCCUAUUUAUGUAUUUUUUUUCUAUUUCAGCCAUUAUGUAAUGAUUAUUUCCCCACAUCAU
rnacentral:lncRNA from 1 species